UCUGGGUUGGGAUGAGUGGCGAACGGGUGAGUAACACGUGAGUAACCUGCCCUCUUCUUUGGGAUAACGGUCGGAAACGGCUGCUAAUACCGGGUAUUCACUGUCCUUCGCAUGGGGGGUGGUGGAAAGGUUUUUUCUGGUGGGGGAUGGGCUCGCGGCCUAUCAGCUUGUUGGUGGGGUGAUGGCUUACCAAGGCUUUGACGGGUAACCGGCCUGAGAGGGUGACCGGUCACAUUGGGACUGAGAUACGGCCCAG
rnacentral:rRNA from 1 species